AGAGUGUUUUUGCGAAUGCAAUUACACCCCUCUUUACUGAAAAGCAUGCUUUUGAAGGAGAAAAGGCGACUCUUUCAUGCAACUACAGUGGAAGUAACAUACAGAGUUGGCAGUGGUACAGACAGUAUCCCAACACUGCCCCCGAAUUUCUCUUGCUAGCUUUUGAAAAUAUGGGUCCAAAGCAGAAGGACCGUCAUGUUGCUGAAGCUCAAAAGGACAAAAAACAUCUGAACCUGGAGAUCUCCAAAAUUGAAGUAGCAGAUGCUGCUCUGUACUACUGUGCACUGGUGCCCACAGUAACAGAAAACCCUUCAGCACUGUACAAAAACCUGAGAUGAGGAGGAAUACACAGAAAGAAGAAAGAAAGAAAGAAAGAAAGAAAGAAAGAAAGAAAGAAAGAAAGAAGGGAAGGAAGAGGAAGGAAGAAAGAAAGAAAGAAAGAAAGAAAGAAAGAAAGAAAGAAAGAAAGAAAGAAAGAAAGAAAGAAAGAAAGAAAGAAAAUCUCCAUAGAUGUUGAAUUUUCUUUAUGGAACCAUCAAUGCCAAUAAAGAACCUUUAAAAUGUCCAACUAAAUAUUCUGUAUUAUGAAUAAUUACAUUGUUAUCUCAUGGCUGAUUGAUUCAAAUUAAUUACUGCAGACACAUGGUGGCAUUAUUAUUAUCUCUUAACACACUGUAGCUUUGUCAGCAGUGAUGCUUAUGUUUAAUCUACUGACAAAAACUGGUAUAAAAUCAGCAGGAUCUAAAAUCAAGCAUAUCUUCUACAUCAUUCAGACUACUUGUCCCUAAAUAACUGCUGCAAUUAGUAAUAUAAACUAAUUAGUAAUCAGUGAAGUAAUGGCAUAAAAUGUACAGCAGAUGGCAGUGUUCACUCAGAUUACAGUAGAUUUAAAUCUUCAGUUGGUGUAACAGUUCAAAAAAGGAAAUGUGCACAAAUUCAGUCAGAGUCUGUGAGUUAAAAAGUUUGAGCUGCUUGUGAUGAUCCAUGAUGUUUCUAUGCAGUGUCUGGUUCAUUCUUCUCUUUUCAGGUGAUGCAUGUGGAGAAGGAAUAGCUCCUCUCUCCUCAUCUGAGCUUGUUACCGAUGGUGACUCCAUUACUUUGGCCUGCAAUUACAAUGGGACUUACAAUAGUGAUUCUCUCCUCUGGUAUCGUCAAUUCAGCAGCUCCAACCCAGAGUUUUUGUUUCUGGUUAGUGAAGCCAAACUUGAGCAGCCAGCUGACCCUCCAAUACCUGGAGUGUUUGCUAAAUUAAAUGAGGAGAAAAACCGUGUGGUUCUGAAGAUCUCCUCUGCUUCAGUAUCAGACUCUGCUCUGUACUACUGUGCCCUGCAGCCCACACUGACAGGAAACACAAGAACACUGUACCAAAUUAAAGAGAAAACAACUAAACGAACAACCUGAUGAACUACACAAAAUAUUGAAUUAAACCUCUAUAUGACUGUGUCUUUGUUGCAUGAUGUUCUAAAAAUAUAUUUAAAUAAUGCUGCAACCACAAAAUGUACAUAACCAG
rnacentral:lncRNA from 12 species